UUUGAUCUGAAAUCAUGGUGGGA
rnacentral:rRNA from 1 species